rnacentral:rRNA from 1 species
GACGAACGCUGGCGGCGUGCCUAAUACAUGCAAGUCGAACGAACCGCGACUAAGUGCUUGCACUAAGUCAAGGUGAGUGGCGAACGGGUGAGUAACACGUGGGUAACCUACCUCAUAGUGGGGGAUAACAGUCGGAAAAGACUGCUAAUACCGCAUAGGACAUAGGAUCACAUGAUCCAGUGAGGAAAGGUGGCGCAAGCUAUCGCUAAGAGAUGGACCCGCGGUGCAUUAGCUAGUUGGUAGGGUAAAGGCCUACCAAGGCGAUGAUGCAUAGCCGACCUGAGAGGGUGAUCGGCCACAUUGGGACUGAGACACGGCCCAAACUCCUACGGGAGGCAGCAGUAGGGAAUCUUCCGCAAUGGACGCAAGUCUGACGGAGCAACGCCGCGUGAGUGAAGAAGGUCUUCGGAUCGUAAAGCUCUGUUGUUAGAGAAGAACAGCGCAUAGAGUAACUGCUAUGCGUGUGACGGUAUCUAACCAGAAAGCCACGGCUAACUACGUG